rnacentral:rRNA from 1 species
GAUAAACGCUGGCGGCGUGCCUAAUGCAUGCAAGUCGAACGGGCCUCGGGCUUCGGUCUGGGGUCAGUGGCGGACGGGUGAGGAACACGUACGAGACCUGCCCUCCGGUGGGGAAUACCCCUUCGAAGAGGGGCGUAAUGCCGCAUACGGUUGCUGGGGUAAGUACCUGGCAAGGAAAGCUGCUCGCAAGGGUGGCGACGGAGGAGGGGCGGUGCGGCCGAUUAGCUGGUUGGUGGGGUAAGUGGCCUACCAAGGCUGUGAUCGGUAGCUGGUCUGAGAGGAUGAUCAGCCACACUGGGACUGAGAGACGGCCCAGACUCCUACGGGAGGGCAGCAGCAGGGAAUCUUGCGCAAUGGGCGAAAGCCUGACGCAGCAACGCCGCGUGGGUGAGGAAGGCCU